rfam:Zootermopsis nevadensis contig26509, whole genome shotgun sequence.
GCCACGGUGGUCUAGCGGUUAGAACGCUGGCCUUGUAAGCCUGGGGUCUCGGGUUCGAUUCCCGGCGGUGCCC